UAGUCAUAUGCUUGUCUCAAAGAUUAAGCCAUGCAUGUGUAAGUAUAAGUAUUGUACAGCGAAACUGCGAAUGGCUCAUUAAAUCAGUUAUAGUUUAUUUGAUAAUCGAAAGUUACAUGGAUAACCGUGACAAAUUACAGCUAAUACAUGCAGCAAAACUCCUAUGGAGUUGUAAUUAUUAGUACUAAACCAAUUCCUUCGGGAAUGUGAUGAAUCAUAGUAAUCGAACGAAUCGCAGAAUUCUGCGAUAAAUCAUUCAAGUUUCUGCCCUAUCAGCUUUGGAUGGUAGUGUAUUGGACUACCAUGGCAAUCACGGGUAACGGAGAAUUAGGGUUCGAUUCCGGAGAGGGAGCCUGAGAAAUGGCUACCACAUCUACGGAAGGCAGCAGGCGCGAAAAUUGCCCAAUCCCGAUACGGGGAGGCAGUGACAAGAAAUAACAACUCUCAACUUUGUUGAGAAGUGUAAUGAGGAUAAUUUACAAACCUUACCGAAAGCAAUU
rnacentral:rRNA from 1 species